AUUGAACGCUGGCGGCAUGCUUUACACAUGCAAGUCGAACGGCAGCACGAAAGAGCUUGCUCUUUUGGUGGCGAGUGGCGAACGGGUGAGUAAUGCAUCGGAACGUACCGAGUAAUGGGGGAUAACUGUCCGAAAGGAUAGCUAAUACCGCAUACGCUUUGAGAAGGAAAGUGGGGGCUCUUCGGACCUCACGUUAUUCGAGCGGCCGAUGUCUGAUUAGCUAGUUGGUGGGGUAAAGGCCUACCAAGGCGACGAUCAGUAGCGGGUCUGAGAGGAUGAUCCGCCACACUGGGACUGAGACACGGCCCAGACUCCUACGGGAGGCAGCAGCGGGGAAUUUUGGACAAUGGGCGCAAGCCUGAUCCAGCCAUGCCGCGUGUCUGAAGAAGGCCUUCGGGUUGUAAAGGACUUUUGUUAGGGAAGAAAAGGAUAGUGUUAAUACCAUUAUCUGCUGACGGUACCUAAAGAAUAAGCACCGGCUAACUACGUG
rnacentral:rRNA from 1 species